rnacentral:rRNA from 1 species
AUGGCGCGCGUGGAGAAGGUCGCCGGCGGCGAAGGGCAGGUGGAGGUGGUGGUCGGGGUGGACGGCAAGGGGGCGAUAGAGUGCCGGAUAUGCCAGGAGGAGGGGGAUGAGGCCGCCAUGGACUCCCCCUGCGCCUGCACUGGCACGCUCAAGUUCGCGCACAGGAAGUGCAUACAGAGGUGGUGCGACAAGAAGGGGAACAUCACAUGUGAAAUCUGCAACCAGGUUUACUCUCCGAACUAUAUUCUCCCUCCAACAAAGUGCUGUUCAGAUGAAAUGGGCAUGGAUCUUAGGCAAAGCUGGGUUGGGCGAAUCGAUCCCCAUGAUUCCCAUUUCCUGGCGAUCGCUAUUGCCGAGCAGCAGCUGCUGAACGCUGAAUUCGAUGACUGCAUGACCUCAAAUUCGAGCGGCGCCACAUGCUGCCGGUCUAUUGCCCUAAUUUUGAUGGUGCUUCUGCUCGUGCGCCAUGUAACCGUGAUCGUGCGAGAUGUUAGCAUGCUACAAGAUGCGACGGUUCUGUUCAGCGCAAUUCUUCAGUUCGUGGGAUUCUUUCUUCCGUGUUACGUCAUAGCGCGCUUCUGCUAUGCUUUUCAACACCGGAGGCGAAGACAGGUUUAG